UCUGAAUCGUUUCCUCCAAAACUCGAGGAGUUUAAAUUUUUGCAUUUUUUCUAGCUUCUCCAUGCAAGAAAAGGUUGAAGUUUGUUCAAGAGGAUGAAUAUUGUCAGAAACUUAGUGAAAAGGCUGACAAAAUGGGAAGAACAAAAGCAAUGCUACUCUACAUUAGAACAUAAGGUGACAGUGGAUUCAGCUUCUGAAGAAGAGAGAAACAGAAAGCAGUUCUUAAACCACAUAUCAGUGACUGUCUCUGCAAAUAUCUUCUCCUUCAGCCUUUAAUGCAGCCUUUCAGCCCCCUUUGAAAGUUACAGAGUGGCUAGGUACUCAU